AUUGAACGCUGGCGGCAGGCCUAACACAUGCAAGUCGAACGAGUGGCGGACGGGUGAGUAAUGUAUGGGAAACUGCCUGAUGGAGGGGGAUAACUACUGGAAACGGUAGCUAAUACCGCAUACCAUCAGAUGUGCCCAGAUGGGAUUAGCUGGUUGGUGGGGUAACGGCUCACCAAGGCGACGCUCCCUAGCUGGUUUGAGAGGAAGACCAGCCACACUGGAACUGAGACACGGUCCAGACUCCUACGGUAGGCAGCAGUGGGGAAUAUUGCACCAUGGGCGAAAGCCUGAUGCAGCCAUGCCGCGUGUAUGAAGAAGGCCUUCGGGUUGUAAAGUACUUUCAGCGGGGAGGCGUUACCCGCAGAAGAAGCACCGGCUAACUCCGUGCCAGCAGCCGCGGUAAUAC
rnacentral:rRNA from 1 species